GAUGAACGCUGGCGGCGUGCCUAAUACAUGCCAGUCGAGCGAACAGACGAGGAGCUUGCUCCUCUGACGUUAGCGGCGGACGGGUGAGUAACACGUGGAUAACCUACCUAUAAGACUGGGAUAACUUCGGGAAACCGGAGCUAAUACCGGAUAAUAUAUUGAACCGCAUGGUUCAAUAGUGAAGGACGGUUUUGCUGUCACUUAUAGAUGGAUCCGCGCCGCAUUAGCUAGUUGGUAAGGUAACGGCUUACCAAGGCAACGAUGCGUAGCCGACCUGAGAGGGUGAUCGGCCACACUGGAACUGAGACACGGUCCAGACUCCUACGGGAGGCAGCAGUAGGGAAUCUUCCGCAAUGGGCGAAAGCCUGACGGAGCAACGCCGCGUGAGUGAUGAAGGUCUUCGGAUCGUAAAACUCUGUUAUUAGGGAAGAACAAAUGUGUAAGUAACUAUGCACGUCUUGACGGUACCUAAUCAGAAAGCCACGGCUAACUACGUG
rnacentral:rRNA from 1 species